rnacentral:miRNA from 14 species
UCUUUUUUGUCCGUCAGCGCAGAAUUUUUUCGCUUACACGAGUAAUGUAAACGAUGUAAGUGAAUAUUCUGUGUCGAUGGGUAUAAAAAGA